AGGUACUUUCUCACCAUUGCAGAACCAAGCUUAAAUGUUAGCUUUCCAAACAAGUCUUUUCCUGACCAAAGUAAAUCCUUCCCAUUAGGCCCUUUCAUAGCACACAGUAUUGUAGCCUCAGAGACAUUAUCAUAAUUAUAAUUGUGUAUUACGAAUCCAUUAACUCAUUAUCAGUCUCUCCCAUUACAUCCUAGAGUUCUUGGAAGAAGAGAACAGUACAUUUGACUCUGCAUCCACGACACCAAGCUGCCUGCCCCAAGGCAGGUGUUAAUAAAUAUUUCUGAACAAAUGAAAAUAGAUUCAGAUGUGCUGUAAAUAUCACACUGGUUAAGAGACUUAGCUGUGAUGUUUACUGAUAGAGUAGUUUCAACAUCAUUAUCCAACAUCAGUGUCAUAUAGGGUUCUUCUUUAUUUAUACAGCAUCUUAUAUUUUUCAGAACAAGUCUGAAUUUUUUUUUUUUUUUUUUUGUCUUUUUGCCUUUGAGGGCCACACCCGAGGCAUAGACCCCCUAGGUUCCCAGGCUAGGGGUGUAAUCUGAGCUGUAGCCACCGGCCUACACCAGAACCACAGCAACGCGGGAUCUGAGCCCCAUCUGCAACCUAGACCACAGCUCAUGGCAACGCCGGAUCCUUAACCCACUGAGCCAGGCCAGGGAUCAAACCCACAGCCUCAUGGUUCCUAGCUGGGUUUGUUAACCACUGAGCCACGACAGGAACUCCAAUUUUUUUAAGUGCGAACAUACAGUUUACUAGCUUCCUAUUGAACUGGGAAACAAUAUAAAAUAUAAAAUGUCCUUGGUGUAUUUAGUGCCAAGCCAUACAAAUAUAUGUCUUUGUGUACAUGAGCACAUGUGCACAUGUGUCAAAACACACCCAUAAGCAGAUUCCUAGCCAGGAGCUCUGCUGGACACUGUCUUGAUAGAGAUAUGUGAGACUUUAUCCCCUGAGUUCUUUCCUCUCUUGAAACUUUUCAAAAAUUACUUUUUUAACCUACAUUUUACUUUAACAUCCAAGAGGUCUAACAUGAAAUUUCAGAUAAAGUACCAUAUAGAGGGACUGAAUCUAAAACAGACUUGAAUUUACAAUAAAAAGGUUAUGAUACCUAGAGAACCCAGGAUGACAGGAUUUUUUUUCUUAAGUAGGUCAGUUCAAAUGGGUACCACAUGAAAAAGGAAGAGGGGUUUGAAAACAAGAAAAAUAAAAAAUAACAAUAGGUUAGGAUUAUUCAUCUACAUAGAAGACCAUAAAACAAUUUUUAACCUUCAUGUUUAAGAAAAUAAAAGGCAGAUUUUAAGAGCUAUUGGAAGAGUACAAGGUGUAACUUUCAAUUAUAGUUUUAAUAGUUAAUAAUUAGAUGGUAAGUUUUUUAAAAGUAAGGAAAUUGUUUUGUCCUUUGCAGAACUCCAGCAUCCAAAAUAGUGUCUGAUAUGUAGUAGGCAAUCGGUAAAUACCUGUUAAAUGAAUAAAGGCAAUAAUAGCAACUUCUAUAAACACUUUCUCAAAUAUUGUGCUUAAAAAGCUCAUAAAUAAGAUACCAACUAACCAUCACAUCAACCUUAGGAGGAAGGUUUAUCAUUACCCUUUUAUAAAUGAAUUAACACAGUCCAAAUAAUUUCUCCAAGAUCUGAGAGCAAAGCUAGCAUUCACAUCCAGGACUAGUUGACUGCAGAGCCUGCAUUUAUAACCACCAUUCUAAACAGGCUUUUUGGACAUGCAGCACUGAAUGGAAGAGAAAUGCAACCACGUUUAAAGGAUGUGCAGAAAGAAAAAUCAGAAUAUAAGAUGAACUACAGAGUUGGAGAACGGCACCUAUUUCUGUGCAAUCAGUUCAGUGAAGCUGCAAGUACGAUGCCACAGGAUAUUAUGGAGGUGGCUAAAGGCAGGAUGGGGGUGGGAAAGGGAGUCCAGAAAGAAUAGAUAGCAAACAAAUAAAGAGCUUAUUCCUUUCCAGAGUAACAACUAUACCGCUAGCCGCAACAUUGCCAGUGCUGUCAGAAGAACCUUACAGAAAUGAGGCAGACCCUGUUUUUCAAAAGAGUAAUAAUGAAAAAAUAAAGUCCUGUGGUGCUUUUCCUCUAUCUGCCCUGCUUAUAAAUUCAUAGCACAGCAUGGCGGUUAUUAAAAUCCCAUAUGUGAGAACCACACACAGCACAAAGAGAUAUGAAUUGGCGUUCCACGGAGAUAAUGCUAUCUAAUGGGCAAAACAAGUAGUAGGGUUUCAUUUUUAUUCCGAGUACAUUUGCAAAGGGCUCAGCAGCUAGCUACUUCGCAUGGAUAGCUGACCAUCCAAAGACUGUUUCUCCCCUUCCUUCCUAUGGAUUAAUAAGUGGGAUAUACAAGAGUAGGGUCGUGAUCUGCCCAAGUUUGGAUAUUCCCAUGACAUUUUUUUCUUUGCUUUCAACUUUUGAAAUAGAGUGGAUUAAGAUUGUCUCCAGUUGCCCUGGCACAGAAGAAGGGCAGAGCACAACCACUCUAUCCCUGCAUGGCAUCAGGCAGGCGCGGGAGUCUGAAGGGGCUCACCAUUUCUGGUCCAGGAGUGCACCAGAAACUCGCCUCGUAGCCCAGCACAAGCUGGCUUACACUUGGUUAUUUUUGGGUUCCUUUCUUCCCAGGUUUGUGUCUUUCUUUGGUCAGAAAAGGCUGCUGAAUGUCCUAUUAAAGGAAAUCAAAUAUGACUAACAGCAACAAAUGUUCGUCUAUGUGCUCUGACAGAGUGGAAAGCAGCAUCCUAGACCAGAAAGCCAAUUUUAAGAAUAUCCUAUGAUCUUAACCAACAGAAAACCUUAUAUCUGAAAUUUCCUAAGUAACUUAGUGCUGGAAUUUAAGGCAAACCAAUGGCAUCUUUUUAAUGCAUUUACUCUGAAGUCCCAAUAUUUUCAAAAGCAGGUAAAUUCUUGUCCAUAGAUACCUGGACCAGGUUAU
rnacentral:lncRNA from 1 species